rnacentral:rRNA from 1 species
UACGUAGGGUGCAAGCGUUAAUCGGAAUUACUGGGCGUAAAGCGUGCGCAGGCGGUUAUGCAAGACAGAUGUGAAAUCCCCGGGCUCAACCUGGGAACUGCAUCUGUGACUGCAUAGCUAGAGUACGGUAGAGGGGGUAGAGUCACUCGCGUAGCAGUGAAAUGCGUAGAGAUGUGGAGGAAUACCGAUGGCGAAGGCAGCCCCCUGGGCCAACACUGACGCUCAUGCACGAAAGCGUGGGGAGCAAACAGG